rnacentral:tRNA from 1 species
GGAUAUGGCUCAAGUGGUAGCGCGCAUGCCUGGCAUGCGUGAGGCACUGGGUUCGAUCCUCAGCACCA